rnacentral:rRNA from 1 species
CAUUAGGGAAUCUUACACAAUGGACGAAAUUCUGAUGGAGCAACGCCGCGUGAGUGAAGAAGGGUUUCGGCUCGUAAAACUCUGUUGUUAAAGAAGAACAUAUCUGAGAGUAACUGUUCAGGUAUUGACGGUAUUUAACCAGAAAGCCACGGCUAACUACGUGCCAG